rnacentral:rRNA from 1 species
CACGUAGGGCGCAAGCGUUGUCCGGAAUUAUUGGGCGUAAAGAGCUCGUAGGCGGUCUGUUGCGUCCGCUGUGAAACUCGGGGCUUAACCCCGAGCCUGCAGUGGAUACGGGCAGACUAGAGGUAGGUAGGGGAGAAUGGAAUUCCCGGUGUAGCGGUGAAAUGCGCAGAUAUCGGGAGGAACACCGGUGGCGAAGGCGGAUCUCUGGGCCAUUACUGACGCUGAGGAGCGAAGCGUGGGGAGCGAACAGG